GCUGGGGUUAUAGGUGUGAGCCACUGCGCCUGGCUCCUGCUCUUCUAAGUGUUCUUGUAGCAGCCUGUACUUAACUUUAUGGCUUAUUUUCUGUUUUCCUCACUAGAAUGCAAACUCCUUGAAAACCUUGCUUAGUGCUUGGGUCCAUGGUAGGCGAUCAGUAGAGUUGUAGAAUGAAGAGAGUGAAUUAUACCUUCUUAAUUCCUAGGAAGAAUUCCCAUUCUUAGGACACAGAGAACAAACAAUACAUCAUGGGCAUAAAUAGCUCUUUUCCUUUGCGCAAUUACAUUCAGAUCCCUAGUAUCACUCUUUUUUCUUUUUUUGAGAUUGCUCUGUCGCCAGGCUGGAAUGCAGUGGCGUGAUCUCGGUUCACUGCAACCUCCACCUCCCGGGUUCAAGCAAUUCUCCUGACUCAGCCUCCCGAGUAGCUGGGAUUACAGGCAUGUGCCACCAUGCCCGGCAAAUUUUUGUUGUAUUUUUAGUAGAGUUUAGUAGAGUCUGUGCUAAUCUGUGCUAGCCAGGAUGGUCCCGAUCUCCUGACCUUGUGAUUUGCCCACCUCGGCCUCCCAACAGUGUCACUCUUUAUGGUUAUGAUCCGUCUCUGGCCGUUCAUUCCACUCCACUCCAUGCGACUCAGGUCCCUGGGGAGGCCUAUUUUCUGGAGUAGGGCUGGGUCUAGGCUGGAAUCGCGCAGCCUCCCCUUCUCUGGCUCUGGGCCAAUGAGCCCUUGCACGGAGCCUUCUUGCCAGCAGGUGGCACUUGAAGCCUGAAAGCUAAACCAGACCCUGUCUCCUCCUCCUUCCUGUUCCGUUUCUUGAGAGAGCACAUAACCCUGCUUGGGCUGUGCUAAGGCUUGCAGUCAGAUGCCCUCGCCACGGGGCUUGACUCCUGGCUCCCAAGCUGCCGUGCCUGCUUCCUUGCCUGGAUGCAGUCAUUGCCUGGACCUCUCCUUUGCCUUAAGAGUCCAACAGGGUUAUAGAGCAUAUGCUCUAGCCAGAACUAAAACUAGGUGGGGCACUUAACGAUUGUGUACUCACAUUCUUUGUUUUUGAGACAGGGUCUCACUCUGUCGCCCAAGCUGGAGUGCAGUGGUGUGAUUUCAGCUCACUGCAACUUCUGCCUCCAGGUUCAAGUGAUCCUCCCACCUCAGCCGCUGGGACUACAGGUGUGUGCCACCACACUCGGCCAAUUUUUAUAAUCUUUAGUAGAGAUGGGGUUUUGCUGUGUCGCCUCAAAUUCCUGGGCUCAAGCGAUCCUCCCACCUCGGCCUCCUAUAGUGCUGGGAUUACAGAUGUGAGCCACCAUGCUGGAUGAGCUGAGUCUUGGAGGAGGGGAGGCUUAUUCUAUCUAGGUUAGAAGAAACAAUCUGAAUAAAAACCGAAGCAGAAAUCAACCCUGUGUGUUCCCAUAUGCUCCCCAGCUCAUCAAAAACUCUGCCUACUAAAAUCGUCUCAGGCUGCUCACAUGUCACCUUGCCUGAGGACUUUUUCCUUGGGGGACCUUGGUCUCUUCUGGGUCUUAGCUUGUACCUCUCACCUGCACAUUUAACCUAUUGUGCCAAAGUGCGGCUGUCAUGUCUUCUUGAGCACCUGGACCACCCUCUGCUUCCUCAGGCACUCCUAGGAGCUGGUGGAGUUCAUUUGGAAUUCCAUGUACCUGUGAUAGGUACCCUUGACCCUGGGUUUCAAGAUGUUGCAUGUGAGAUCCUGACCCUCUCCUGCCAUGCUCCAGCUUUCAGCUUUAGCGAGCCCAGGCCAAUCAGCAGAUCUCUUGUAGGGAAAUGAAUGUCCCACAAAGGCCGUGAAUGAGACUCCUCUUUCAGGCUGGAGAAAGGAGGGUCAAAGGAAAGAGUGAUUUUAGGAUUCGGGGACAAAUUUAAGAAAAGCUCACAUUUUGCUUAUGCCCCAGGCCUGGAGCAAUGAGAAGAGCAAAGCCUUUGCUUUGAUACCAGGGACACCCCAAGAGGGGAAAGGUGGCAGACAGAUGAUAAGAUAGGAGAGUGGCCAACUCCUUUGAGAGAUAAUCUGAUAUCCCAGAAAGGAUGUUAAAAGUGAGGUUGUGGCCUGGUGUGGUGGCUCACACGUGUAAUCCCAGCACUUUGGGAGGCCGAGGUGGGCAGAACACUUGAGGUCAGGAGUUUUGAGACCAGCUUGGCCAACAUGGUGAAACCCUAUCUCUCCUAAAAAUACAAAAGUUAGCCGGGUGUGGUGGUGCACAGUGGUAGUCCUAGCUACUCAGGAGGCCGAGGCAGGAGAAUCACUUGAAUUUAGGAGGCAGAGGUUGCAGUGAGUGAGUCAAGAUCGUGCCUUGGUAACAGAGUGAGCAAGACUCUGUCUCAAAAAAAAAAAAAAAAAAAAAAAAGGAGGUUCUUAAACUGCUCUGUAAAUGCUGGGGUUAGUACCUUCCCAGUGGAGCCACAGGUGCAGAGCCAGGCCUCUGUUCUUCUCUGGCUGACAAGCACUCCCUACUAACACAUUCAGAGCAGCCGCCUCACAGGAAGGGCCGAGUUUUCGGUAUGGUGGUUCUAUGAUGUUGGCCGUGCCAAGGAGACAUGCCAGGAAGCGCUACCUGGAGGUUCUGGGGGCUGCAGGCAUUUUGGAGGAAAGCUGAAGCAGAGGCUUUGGGACCUGGAAGAAACCUCAAGGCUCCUUUAGCCCAUCCCUAGCUGUCAUUUUAUAGAUGAGGAAACAGGUGGGAAAUGACUUGCUCAAGACCACACUGAGUUAGUGGCAAAAUUGGGUCCACCAUACAACACUGGUUGUUAUGGU
rnacentral:lncRNA from 1 species